rnacentral:lncRNA from 1 species
CACUUGGCUUAUCCAAUAAACCAAUUGGACUUGAUCCGAUCAAGCCUAAACUAAGUCUAUUUAAAUCAUAUUCAAUUAAACUUAAUCUCAGUCCAUUGGCUUAAUCAAAUUAAGCCAAUUAGCAAUCAAAUUGCUAAUCGAUCCUCCUGCAACACUAGCACUAGGUUAAAUGUCAAUCACAUUGAUCAUUUAACCCUAGAAUGAUUUUUAAUCGUUAAUCAACCAUC